rnacentral:ncRNA from 2 species
UAGACCAGAAGAGGCGCGUUAACCAGGCAACCCGCGAUAGAAGACUAUAUUUCGUAGCGUGGGCUAGGGGGAUUAACGCCGAGAAAGUACGUAUUAUAGUCAACGUAUUUUCGGUCGUGCAGGCUGAAUCCUGCCGACUGUCACCUGUUUGGUGGAGAGCUUCUGGCCUU